UUUCAAAUAACGGCCGUUACGUAACGUAACGGCCGUUAUUUACAGGUAACGGAGGCAGCCGUGGCCGUUACGGCCUUUGAACAACGGCAAAAAAAAAUUGUUUGCGUAACGGCCGUUAUGGCCGUUACGCAACGGUAACGGCCGUUACCGGCCGUUAUGUAACGGUCGUAACGGCCGUUACUUUCCUUUACAGCAAAUGACCAGGAAUCUUGCAGUUGUCCAGCACUCCAGCAGCUCCAGGAAUCUUGCAGAAGUUGUCCAGCACUCCAGCAGCUCCUCCAGUCCAGCCUGUUUCAACUUUCACGUGAAAAACAAAAUUUGGAUUUUGCAAAAAUGUUUUUCUAUCUUUUCUACUUCUUCUUUUUAUUCUUUAGCCUUUACUUUACUCUCUCCUCCUCUCUUUCAUCCAGUAGACCAGCACCUUGAGUCUCUUAUCCUUCUCCAUUUCCUCCAGCCUCCAGCAAGUCCUUCUCCAUUUCCUCCAGCUCCAGCCUCCAGCAAGUCCUUCUCCAUUUCCUCCAGCCUCCAGCAAGCAGCAGCCUCAGCAGUAGCAGUGUAGCACUUCUCCUUCAGCUUCAGUCCUUCUCCAUUUCCUCCAGCAGACUCCAGCCUCCAGCUGUCCAGCAGGCAGCAGCAGCAGCAUAAAGACUAAAGAGAGUUCUCUUCUUCUUCCAUAAAUCCAUAGUGUUUUUCUUCCAUAAUCCACACUUAUUUCCAGCUUUCAUUGAGGUAAGUUACUAAUUACUAUAUAUAAUGUUUAAAAUUUAUGAAUUUUAUGUUUAUUUGAUAUAUUUGUACUUAUUAUUAAGUUAUAUAAUUUAAUUUUAAUUAUAUCUUUUAAUUUCAUGAACUUUAUAAAUUAUAAGUUAUAACUUAUAAGUUAUAGCAUACAAGUUACUUUAUUAUAAUAUAUUUUUUGUUUACACAUUAAUUUGAGUUUAAGUUAAUUUGCACAUUAAUUUGAUAAUACAUUUUUUAUUUUACAGUAUAUUAUUUGAUAAUUUGAAAAUGCCGAGAGGGGGAUCUGAUAAACCAAGUCAAGAUAUUGGAUGGAAUUUUGCCACUCCUACAGGAAAAAAAGGAGAAAU
rnacentral:lncRNA from 1 species